GGGUUGUGAGGUUAAGCGACUAAGCGUACACGGUGGAUGCCUAGGCAAUCAGAGGCGAUGAAGGACGUGCUAAUCUGCGAUAAGCGUCGGUAAGGUGAUAUGAACCGUUAUACCCGACGAUUUCCGAAUGGGGAAACCCAGUGCAAUUCGUUGCACUAUCGUUUGAUGAAUACAUAGUCAAACGAAGCGAACCGGGGGAACUGAAACAUCUCAGUACCCCGAGGAAAAGAAAUCAACCGAGAUUCCCCUAGUAGCGGCGAGCGAACGGGGAGCAGCCCAGAGUCUUAAUCAGCAUUAGUAUCAGGAGAACGGUCUGGAAAGUCCGGCAGUAAAGGGUGAUAGCCCCGUAUCUGAAGAUAUUAGUGUUGUGAACUCGACGAGUAGGGCGGGACACGUGUUAUCCUGUCUGAAUAUGGGGGGACCAUCCUCCAAGGCUAAAUACUCCUGAUUGACCGAUAGUGAACCAGUACCGUGAGGGAAAGGCGAAAAGAACCCCGGCGAGGGGAGUGAAAUAGAACCUGAAACCGUGUACGUACAAGCAGUGGGAGCCUUGAUUUAUCAGGGUGACUGCGUACCUUUUGUAUAAUGGGUCAGCGACUUAUAUUCUGUAGCAAGGUUAACCGUAUAGGGGAGCCGUAGGGAAACCGAGUCUUAACUGGGCGAAUGAGUUGCAGGGUAUAGACCCGAAACCCGGUGAUCUAGCCAUGGGCAGGUUGAAGGUUGGGUAACACUAACUGGAGGACCGAACCGACUAAUGUUGAAAAAUUAGCGGAUGACUUGUGGCUGGGGGUGAAAGGCCAAUCAAACCGGGAGAUAGCUGGUUCUCCCCGAAAGCUAUUUAGGUAGCGCCUCGUGAACUCAUCUUCGGGGGUAGAGCACUGUUUCGACUAGGGGGUCAUCCCGACUUACCAACUCGAUGCAAACUACGAAUACCGAAGAAUGUUAUCACGGGAGACACACGGCGGGUGCUAACGUUCGUCGUGAAGAGGGAAACAACCCAGACCGCCAGCUAAGGUCCCAAAGUCAUAGUUAAGUGGGAAACGAAGUGGGAAGGCUCAGACAGCCAGGAUGUUGGCUUAGAAGCAGCCAUCAUUUAAAGAAAGCGUAAUAGCUCACUGGUCGAGUCGGCCUGCGCGGAAGAUGUAACGGGGCUAAACUAUGCACCGAAGCUGCGGCAGCGAUAUGUAAAUAUUGUUGGGUAGGGGAGCGUUCUGUAAGCCUGUGAAGGUGUACUGUGAGGUAUGCUGGAGGUAUCAGAAGUGCGAAUGCUGACAUAAGUAACGAUAAUGCGGGUGAAAAACCCGCACGCCGGAAGACCAAGGGUUCCUGUCCAACGUUAAUCGGGGCAGGGUGAGUCGACCCCUAAGGCGAGGCAGAAAUGCGUAGUCGAUGGGAAACGGGUUAAUAUUCCCGUACUGGUGAUAAUUGCGAUGGGGGGACGGAGAAGGCUAGGCUGGCCGGGCGACGGUUGUCCCGGUUUAAGGAUGUAGGCAGGUGAAUUAGGCAAAUCCGGUUCACUAUAUGCUGAGGUCUGAUGACGAGUCACUACGGUGGCGAAGUAGCUCAUGCCCCGCUUCCAGGAAAAGCCUCUAAGCUCUAGAUUAUCACUAAUCGUACCCCAAACCGACACAGGUGGUCAGGUAGAGAAUACUCAGGCGCUUGAGAGAACUCGGGUGAAGGAACUAGGCAAAAUGGUGCC
rnacentral:rRNA from 1 species